CGAGGUCUUGCCUGGCCGUGCUGUGCGUCAUCCUGUCAGAAUGACUUUCUCUCUUGUUGAGAAGGGAGAUGGAAAGACAGGAAAUCGGGGGCUCCAGCUCUCCUAGUAAUUGCUGUGAGAAUAAAAAUCAGGAUUAUUUGUGCCCAUGAGGGAAACACGAAGGAUUGUCAGUAUUCAUUUGCUAUCAGAACUGCCUUUGAACUUCAGGGAAGCCGCCAUCUUGUUUUAGUUCACUCCUCUAAAGCACAGUGUCUGCAACAUGAAACACUAGUAAGACACAGUUAUCCAGAAAGAGCCCUAGAGAUGGAUAAGGAACCUGUUGGAAUGCUCUGAUAUUAAGAAAAAAAAAAUUAAAUUCAAAACCAAAAACAAGUCACAAGGGAGUUUUAUGCCUAUGUAAUCAGUGCAGACAGCCGUUAAGUAAAUGAAGAGGCAACUAACAAUGUCAGAAAAGAGACCGGGCGGUUCCGGCUGACACUACCCUAAUCUUCCAGGACCCAUUAAAUGGUAGUUUCAACGCAUUACCUACCAUAACAUCCUUGAAUAUCACUGAUUUUAUUUGCAGUAUCAAACAUUCCAUUUCAUGCCCCAUUAACAGUGGGAGCCUGGGCUUUUUGACGCAGCUAAACAUUUUACUAACUACCUGGACUAAGUAACCAAUUAACUUUUGGAGACAAUACGGCCAAUUAAGCGCGAAAAGCAGAAAUAUCAGUGUCCGACAAGAUAUUGCCCUGGUUUUCACUGGCUUGGACUCUUCAGAGAGAAAAACAAAUCCAUGUAUAGAGAGAAAAUUUGGAAAACAGGCUUUUCCUAUCCGGAUGAACAGAGAUAAUUUGUGUCGAUGGAUGUUCUGUGAAGGCCUAUUGUGUCGAGCAGCGUAUUAAAACAUAAACAUGGCUCUUCCCCCAAGAAACUUACAUUUCAGUAAGGGAGCCUGGCCAAAAUGGAAAACUGCAAGGUUCAAAUCCUGGAGUGCAGAAGAAGCAUUAGGCAUUGACCCUGUGGCUUCCUAAUAGAUCCGCAAAGUGCUUUGUUCCUGGAAAUCAUCCGAUGAGUAGUUCAGUGCUAUUGUAUAUCUUGUUAGAGCAGCCGAAGUGCCACAAAAUGAACUAAAAUCUCCCUGCAGAGUUGCUGUAUCAUAUGCUGAGAACAUUCGGAACUUUCAACAAAUUCAUGUUACGAUCCUGGGUAGCCAUGGUUAAAUCUGUACAGGGGUUAAAUGAGAAAUAUGAGCCUGCUGUUAAGUGUCUUCUGAGAGUGACAAAGCUCUGGCCAUAAGGGAUGGGAGAGGAGGGAUUUCUUCUCAGCCUUCCAGCCCUUUCCAGCUGUAUCACAGACAGGAGACAUAAUGCAAAGGGGCUCAGACAUUGACUUCCUGGAUCUUUGCGGCCCCAGGCAUUGACCCCCUCUACCUGGCUUUUCCUACGCUGUAAAAUGAGGAUCCUCCUAUAUUAUGGAGUUUAUUGUGACAACUAAAUAGCUGAGAAGAAGGACAUCUCAUUUGUUUUAACUAUGCAGUUUCCUGUCUAUCUAUCUAUCUAUCCCAUCAAUCUAUCAAUCAAUCUAUCAAUCUGUCUAUCCCUAUCUAUCUAUCCAUCUAUCUAUCUAUAUCUGUCUAUAUCUAUCUAACAUUUAUCUAUCAUCUAUUCAUCUAUCAGCUAUCUUCUGUCUAUCAAUAUUUCAAUCAAUCUCUCUAUCCCUAUCAAUUAAUCUAUCUACCUACCUAUCAACUAUCCAUCUAUCUCUAUCAUCUAUCAUCUAUUCAUCUAUCAUUUAUCAUCUGUCAAUCCAUCUUCCUACUAUCUAUCAAAAGCAACACAUUUUCUUCCUGACUUUAAAAAUAUUUAAGUGGGCCGGGAGGAUGGCUCACGCCUGUAAUCCCAGCACUUUGGGAGGCCUAGGCGGGCGGAUCACGAGGUCAGGAGAUGGAGACCAUCCUGGCUAACAUGGUGAAACCCCGUCUCUACUAAAAAUACAAAAAAAAAAAAAAAUUAACCAGGCGUGGUGGAGGGCGCCUGUAGUCCCAGCUACUCGGGAGACUGAGGCAGGAGAAUGGGGAGAACCCGGGAGGCGGAGCUUGCAGUGAGCCGAGAUCAUGCCACUGCACUCCAGCCUGGGCGACAGAGCAAGACUCCAUCUCAAAAGAAACAAAAACAAAAACGUAAGUGAUACUCUGUCCACUCUUUUGAUUGAGGAGGUCUGAUUUUCAGGCUUUGGAUUUUAUUAUGUCUUCAAUAUAAUAAUUGUUCCAUGUAUCUCUCCUAAAUUGCCAUUUGAAAAACUGCUUUUCUGAAGUUUAAAGUGCACAUUUUGAUACAUCUUGACACAUAUAUACACCCAUGAAAUCAUCACCACAAUCAGGAUAGUAGAUCUAUCCAUUACCGCCAAGGUUUACUUGCACUCCUUUGAACUUUCUCCCCACUCCUCACCCCCUGCCUAUCCCCAAUCCUUAAGCAAUCACUGAUUUGCUUUCUGUCACUAUCAGUUAAUUUGAAUUUUUCAGAAAUGUAUAUAAAUAAAAUCAUUCGACGUGUAUGCUCUUUUUCUGUUCACCCGGUACAAUUUGAGAUUUAGCCAUGUUUUUGCAUGUGUCAAUAGUUUAUUUUUUUGUUGCUCAGUACUAAUCCAUUUUAUGGAUACAGAGAAAUGUAUUAAUGCAAUCCCAUAUUAAUAGGCAUUUGGGUUGUUUCCAGGUUUGGGCUGUUACAAAUAAAGCUGCUAUGAACAUUUUUGUGCAAGUCUUUUUAUGAGUAUAUUCCUUUAUUUCUUUUGGGUAAAUACCUAGAAGUGGGAUGGGUGUAUCACAUGGUACGUAAAUAUUUAAAUUUUUAAGAGAAUGCCAAACUGUUUUUCAAAGUAAUUGCACCAUUUUAUAUUCCCACCAGGAAUAUAUGAGAAUUCCAGUUCCUCUACAUACUCACAGACAUAUUGUAUGGUCAGU
rnacentral:lncRNA from 1 species